rfam:Synechococcus sp. GFB01 Contig82, whole genome shotgun sequence.
GGCGCAUUAGCUCAGGUGGUUAGAGCGCACCCCUGAUAAGGGUGAGGUCCCUGGUUCAAGUCCAGGAUGGCCCA